rnacentral:rRNA from 1 species
GGACGAACGCUGGCGGCGUGCCUAAUACAUGCAAGUCGAGCGGACGUUUUUGAAGCUUGCUUCAAAAACGUUAGCGGCGGACGGGUGAGUAACACGUGGGCAACCUACCUUAUCGACUGGGAUAACUCCGGGAAACCGGGGCUAAUACCGGAUAACAUCUAGCACCUCCUGGUGCCGGAUUAAAAGAGGGCUUCUUGCUCUCACGAUGAGAUGGGCCCGCGGCGCAUUAGCUAGUUGGAGAGGUAACGGCUCCCCAAGGCGACGAUGCGUAGCCGACCUGAGAGGGUGAUCGGCCACACUGGGACUGAGACACGGCCCAGACUCCUACGGGAGGCAGCAGUAGGGAAUCUUCCGCAAUGGACGAAAGUCUGACGGAGCAACGCCGCGUGAGUGAUGAAGGGUUUCGGCUCGUAAAGCUCUGUUAUGAGGGAAGAACACGUACCGUUCGAAUAGGGCGGUACCUUGACGGUACCUCAUCAGAAAGCCACGGCUAACUAC